GUCGAGGAUCAUUCGCAAUGCGCGAAAGCGUGACGAUGCGACGCUGCGUGGAGGAUGAAGGCCUUCGGGUUGUAAACUCCUGUCGAGAGGGAAAAACCGUCCCGCUCACAACAUGGGCGGGGCCUGAUGGUACCUCUAAAGGAAGCCACGGCUAACUCUGUGCCAGCAGCCGCGGUAAUACAGAGGUGGCGAGCGUUGUUCGGAUUUACUGGGCGUAAAGGGUGCGUAGGUGGUUCCGCAAGUCGGGUGUGAAAGCCCACGGCUCAACCGUGGAAUGGCAUUCGAAACUGCGGGGCUAGAGUGCAGGAGGGGAGAGCGGAAUUCUUGGUGUAGCGGUGAAAUGCGUUGAUAUCAAGAAGAACACCGGUGGCGUAGGCGGCUCUCUGGAAUGCAACUGACACUGAGGCACGAAAGCCGGGGGAGCAAACAGGAUUAGAAACCCUAGUAGUCC
rnacentral:rRNA from 1 species